GGUGGCUCAGUGGUAGAGUGAUUGCCUUGCAUGCAUGAGGCCUUGGGUUCGAUUCCUCAGCACCA
rnacentral:tRNA from 1 species